rnacentral:rRNA from 1 species
CCUACGGGUGGCAGCAGUGGGGAAUAUUGCUCAAUGGGGGAAACCCUGAUCCAGCGACGCCGCGUGAGUGAAGACGUAUUUCGGUAUGGAAAGCUCUAUCAGCAGGGGAGAAAAUGACGGUACCUGUGUAAUAAGCCCCGGCUAACCACGAGCCAGCAGCGGCGGUAAUACGGAGGGUGCAAGCGUUAUCCGGAUUUACUGGGUGUAAAGGGGGCGUAGACGGCAGCACAAGUCUGGAGUGAAAUGCCGGGGCUUAACCCGCGAACUGCGUUGGAAACUGUGCAGCUAGAGUGCAGGAGAGGUAAGUGGAAUUCGUAGUGUAGCGGUGAAAUGCGUAGAUAUUAGGAGGAACACCAGUGGCGAAGGCAGCUUACUGGACUGUAACUGACGUUGAGGCUCGAAAGCGUGGGGAUCAAACAGGAUUAGAUACCCCGGUAGAC